GUUCUCUUUCCUUUAUGACGACAACGGAAUUGUCCGGUUGGAAUAUUUUUGAAGAUUUAUGAUAACAUCCUAAAGAUUGAUUCUACACAUCGUUUGACAUGUUUCUACAAACUGUAAUAGAACUUUUGACUUUUCGUCUGGAUUUUAGUGCGUGCGCCUUCUGCAUUUGGAAUAGUGAACCUAAUGUGCAAACAAAAUGGAGGUAUUUGGACAUAAAGAUGAACUAUCGAACAAAACAAACAUUUAUUGUGGAACUGGGAGUGCAUUCCGAUGAAGAUCAUCAAAGGUAAGUGAAUAUUUAUAAUGCUAUUUCUGACUUUUGUUGACUCCACAACAUGGCGGGUAUCUGUUUGGCUUGUUUUGGUGACUGAGCGCUGUAGACAGAUUAUUGCAAAGUGUGCUUUCGACACAGCGGUUGCAUUAAGGAGAAGUGUGUCUUUUAUUUCAAUGCAUAACAGUUGUAUAUUUAUCAACGUUUAUGAUGAGUAUUUCUGUAAAUUGAUGUGCUCAUUCACCGGAAGUUUUUGGAGGCAAAACAUUUCUGAACAUUACACGCCAAUGUAAAAUGUGGUUUUUGGAUAUAAAUAUGAACUUUAUCGAGUAAAACAUACAGGUAUUGUGUAACAUGAAGUCCUGAGUGCCAUCUGAUGAAGAUCAUCAAAGGUUAGUGAUUUAAUUUUAGCUGUAUUUCUGUUUUUUGUGACGCUUAAAUGGCUGUGUGGUUUUUCUUGUCUAGGUGCUGUCCUAACAAUCUAAUGCUAUGCUUUCGCCGUAAAGCCUUUUGGAAAUCAGACACUGUGGUUGGAUUAAUGGGAAGUUUCUUUAAAAUGGUGUAUAAUACUUGUAUGUGUGAGAAUUUGAAUUGAGAUUUUUGUUGUUUUGAAUUUGGCGCUCUGCUAUUUCACUGGCUGUUGGCGAGUGGGACGCUACCGUCCCACAUAUUCCUCUCUGGGGUAACUUCUUGUUAAUCCAACCGCGUUAGAUUUCAAAAAGGCUUUAUGGCGAAAGCAUACCAUGUGAUUAUCUGAGGACAGCACCCCACACAAAUACUUUUCCAAACCAGCACAGGCAUCACAAACACAAAUAGCGAUAAAAUAAAUCACUUACCUUUGAAGAUCUUCCUCUGUUUGCAAUCCCAAGGGUCCCAGCUACACAACAAAAUGGUAGUUUUUGUUCGAUAAAGUCCUUUAUAUCCCAAAAAUGUCAGUUUUAGUUGGCACGCUUGAUUCAGUAAUCCACUCGUUCAACAUGCAUACAAACGAAUCUGAAAAGAUGCCAGUAAAGUUUGUCCAAACAAGUCAAACAAUGUUUCUAACUAAUCCUCAGGUACUCUAAUAUCUAAAUAAACAAUAACAUUUAAGAUGGAGAAUAGUAUAUUCAAUAGGGAAGAUAAUGAAGAGCGCGCAACAUUGACGCGCACAAGAAGACUACUUUUCUAAUGAGCGACACCUUGGAAAAACUACAACUACUCGUUUGUUUUUCAAAAAAACAAGCCUGAAACCCUUUCUAAAGACUUGACAUCUAGUGGAAGCCAUAGGAACUGCAGUCUGGGAGGAAUUAUUUUGAAUAUCUCAUUGGCUUGCAUUGAAAUGGCCGUGACCUCAAAUUUUCCGGAUGGAUUCUCGUCGGGAGUCCUGGGGGGUCAGAGUCCAGGGCCUGAACUGUUCAUAGCUGGAGGGAUUGUAGCACCCUGAAGGACUGGUAAACAGGUUAGACAACACUGCUGCACUGGUAAAGUCCACAUAGGUAAAGACAAUACUGCUACACAGGUAAAGACAAUACAUUCUCAGAUUUGUGAUUUGAAUGUGCUGACUCUGUAGACAUGUCUAUGUAGAUCUAGGGGACAUAUAAAGGCUCUGCGUCACAUUACUGUGUGAUUCGUAGUGUUAGAACUGCUUAAAACAUGUCUUAUUAUAUGUUAAUGCUGUAUAUCCAGCAGUGCGUAAUGAUGUCUCUCUGCAGAGCAAGGCUCAUCUGUACUGGCUGUGGUCCUGCCCAUCAUCUUGAUUCUACUUGUGUUGGUAUUCUUUCUAUCAUUCAUGUUGUGGCAUCGCAUGAUAGGCAAGAAAGGUAACACCAUCCUCUGUCAAACAUCCUAUAGAUCAGAUUCAGAAAUGUGUAAGAGGCGUAGUUCAAUAUUCCAAGAGGUGAAAACUCUUCAUUCUUAUGAUCUGGGUAGACCAGAGUCAAUCCAUCUCAAGUGUGCAUAAUCCCAGUGACACCAGUUGAUUUGCUACAAGGUGGUAGACCUUGAAUCAGAGACAAAGUAUCAACUGAAGAGGGGAGAAAAGAGAGCAAUACAGAACAAAAGUCUAUCUUUCUGCUACAUAGAGAAGGUCUGAUGUGGAGAGUCAACUGGAAGAAGCAACUCAUUCUUCAGGAGAUAGAAAUCAUCCUGACCAGUUCACAAAGACCCCAGAGGUUCCUCCGGUGUCAGAGAAAGUGCUAGAAGAGGACAGGUCUGAGAACCAGGACAGAGGAGACACACCUUAACUGGACCAGAACCUCCAGAGGACAAACUACCAUGACCCGCAGAGCGAACAAGAGGAAGAAGAAAUACUAGACCUGCACAUGAAGCCCAACAAGGAGAGACACUAGGACCUGUACACAGUAGACCACAAAUACAAGAACCAGACAAAUCAACACAUGCAGGAGUCCAGCCAGGAGAUUCAGUCAGGGGAACCAGCCAGGGGAGUAAAGAGAGAAUAAUUAUGUGGAAGAAUAAGAGGAAGUAAUAAAGAGACAGACGAGGAGAAAUGGGAACAAAAUACAGAGGGGGACAUGAACGAGAGAUGAAGGACAGGAGUAGAAGGAAUCAGACACAGAGAAUGAAGGAGUUGAUACCAACCAAACAUCCACCCAGAAUGAUGAGAUGGAUGAGACGCAUAUAAUAAACCCCAAUGAGCAGCACAUUGCCCAGACUACACUACAGAGACAGUCCUGUGAAUCACCAGCAUCCCCAGAUAGCAAAGAAAAAAUAAAGGACAUGAGUCACCCAUCCCAGACCCCAAUGAGCAGCACAUUACCCAUAAUACACCACAGAGGCUGUCCAGUGACUCCGCAGAAGACCCAGAAAGAAUUGAUGACACACCCGCCCCAGACCCCAAGGAGCAGCACAUUAUCCACAGUCCGCUACAGGCGCAGUCCAGUGACUCCCUUUGAUGACCGCCAAGAGAAGGGGCACAGAGAAAGUAAAAAUAAAUGCAUCCUUCAGUAAUUUGCAAUUCACUUGUAUUGAAGAUUAUCCACAAACUGUAACACUUCUUUGUACCAGUAGGGGUCAGUGUUCUUUAGCGUUUCCAUCUACUACUUCCUUUGCAGGGUCCAUUUUUUUAUUUCAGUGUGGUAAGACUGUUUUUGUGACAGUUGUUGUGAAUACAUACAUUACAACAAAAAUAUACAAAUAUGUAUGUUUGUGAUGGUGAUCCUGUUUUGAGCUGUGGCAAAUUUCUUUAUAAACCAAUGGCAAAUUUGACUGUUUAUUUUAGAGAGGUUUUCCACAGCUUAUUACACUUACAUAUAGUAAUUUAGCAGACGCUCUUAUCCAGAGAGACUUACUUUCGACACAUGUACUUAUUGUAAGUGAAUCAACUAUGCAUCAGUCAUCGCAAGUAAGACACAAUCAGAUGAACAACAGCUGCUCAAUGAUUAUGACCCCUUGAAGAUACAGCCAGUUCAUUGUUGGUUCACUAAUUGAUUUUGCCUUGCAGAUAAUGCAUUUUUGUUUGAGUUUCAUACCAAAUACUCAUACUGACACAGUACUUUCUUAGUCUAGUAUUUACUUAGCAUGAUAAUUCACCUUCCUAAUCCACAGAUUGGCUCCUACAAACAAUACACAAAGACAAACUGCAUCUCAGUAGCUAAUGAAAAGAAUACUCAGCGCACAAAAAAGAACAAGAGAACAAGCUAAUCCUAAACCAAAUGCCAGGCUGGUCUAGAUUUCCAAAGGGAAUAGGUAUCUUUAUCGGUCAGACCUGGUUAGUUUAACCCCAGAGUCAGAGAGGGGCCUCUGAUCUGCUACCAGCUGACCUGUGGGUCCAGAGCACCAGAGGAGAAUGAACACUAUCGGUUUCUGUGGUCACAACAAAUACCAGGGGAAUAUUAAUAUAUUGAAUUAUUCUGGAGGCGCGGAGGUGGGCGGGUAUGGGAAUAAUAAUGCAGUUCCUCAGAGAUGGUGUUGAUGUCUUGCUGGCAGUAGGAGAGCUCUGGUCCUGUUCUCCUUCUACUGGCUGGGAUUGUAGGUUCAACUCCCUAUGCCUCCCUUUCUGCAUCCAACCUCUUACUUUAACACUCAUUGUUUCAGGGUUACAUUUACAUUUACAUUUUAGUCAUUUAGCAGACGCUCUUAUCCAGAGCGACUUACAGUAGUGAAUGCAUACAUUUCAUACAUUUUCUUCACAUCAUGGAGGUACACAUCUUUUGCAUUUCAGUAGUUCUGUCAAAGUUGUUUGGAGUUUUUCCAGUUUAUAGAGCUCACCAGCUUGUAGUCCUAAAAACCGAAAAUGAGUUACCUCUGGUUCGUUCAGCCCUUCCUAUGGGAAAAAUGAGUUACCUCUGGUUCGUUCAACCCUUCCUAUGGGAAAAAUGAGUUAUUUUUAUAUUUUUCAGUUGUAACAGUCAGGGUUGAUGCCUGACUGUUACCACUGGCAUUAACAGUCGUUGAUUCUCAUAAAUACGACCCCCUGGGACAAAGGACCGAGCGAUCCAUGAGGUCACAAUAUACUGACAUGAUUUUCUAGUCUAAAAAGUAACAUUUUUGAAAAAUCACAUUCAAGACAUAACAGCAGUGUGGUCAACAAAACCCAUUUCUGCCUUUUCUAUGUGAGUGCCCAUUUCCUGUUGGAGCCUAAUGUUCUCCUAGACAGGGGCCCAAUUUAAGUUUACACUUUAGAUUGUUUGGGUCUAGUUUGGCUCCUCUUCUACUUGAAAGAGACAGAGAGAGUGUGAGAGAGAGAGAGAGAGAGAGAGAGAGACACCCUUGAUUAGCAUGCUGGGUUGUUUAAAUUGCCUCCUGGAGUGCCGAGGUAGAAUCGAACAAUAUCCUCUGGCUUUAGACUCCAUAGCCCAAUGGCCCCAUAGCUUGUCAUUUAUUUGAAUGCAUCAGGAUUAAGAUAGAGAGGCCUACCUGGCACCACUCCACUGGGGAAGCUGGCUCGCUGGCUGCUGAGCCCAAGGCGGACAGAUCCUAGUGGCUUAUGAUGAAUCAAUUCAUAUCAGUUCAAUAAAAGUGGCUGGAUGAAUGCCUCUUUUUGUGCCACGGUUUAUAGUGAUAGAACAAACUCUGUGCCCAUGGUCAUUAUGUGAAUGUAUAAUUUAGCAUGGCCAAGACACCAUAAUUCAAUAUUAAAUGAGACUCCUUUGCAAUUAUUGUCUCGGACCUCAAUUCAGGCCUGGUUUAUCUCCAGAUCCCCUUUUAAUUGGAAUACCAGGAGUGACUAAGAGGUAAUUGUUCAGCGGAAUUGUUAUCACUUCGUAUUGACUGCGUCUGUCUUCCAGGAUGCUGUGGAGGUUUAUUACUGUACCAGGCCUAAUCUGUAAACUCCAUUCUGCUGCUAACAUUUGGUCAUCAUGCAACAUUUAAGAGGGCCCAAGGCACACACACUUAAGUAUCCAGGGCAAUAAGAAAUAUUGUGUACUUUCCUGUCCACCAGGAGAGGAGAGGCACAGACAGUGUUGGUGUUAUUUGCGAUUCUAUGCUUUUGCUUUUGCUUUUACAGGUUAGGCCACUUCCUUUAGGAUGCAUUAAUAAAAUCCUUGAAAACCGUUUUGCUUCUUUCACAAAGCGUUUCUUCAUAGAAUGUCAUUUUUCUGAACCUUUCACACUGUCAUUGAAGG
rnacentral:lncRNA from 1 species